AGUGAACGCUGGCGGUAGGCCUAACACAUGCAAGUCGAACGGCAGCACAGUAAGAGCUUGCUCUUACGGGUGGCGAGUGGCGGACGAGUGAGGAAGACAUCGGAAUCUACUUUUUCGUGGGGGAUAACGUAGGGAAACUUACGCUAAUACCGCAUACGACCUACGUGUGAAAGCAGGGGAUCUUCGAACCUUGCGCUAUGGAAUGAGCCGAUGUUGGAUUCGCUAGUUGGCGGGGUAAAGGCCCACCAAGGCGACGAUCCGUAGCUGGUCUGAGAGGAUGAUUAGCCACACUGGAACUGAGAAACGGUCCAGACUCCUACGGGAGGCAGCAGUGGGGAAUAUUGGACAAUGCGGGCAAGCCUGAUACAGCCCUACCGGGUGGGUGAAGAAGGCCUUCUGGUUGUAAAGCCCUUAUGUUGGGAAAGAAAAGCAGCACGUUAAUACCCCGCUGUUCUGACGGUACCGAAAGAAUAAGCACCGGCUAACUUCGUG
rnacentral:rRNA from 1 species